rnacentral:lncRNA from 1 species
CUCCCAGGUUCAAGUGAUUCUCCUGCCUCAGCCUCCCGGGUAGCUGGGAUUAUAGGCAUGUGCCACCAUGCCUGGCUAAUGUUUUUGUUUUUUUAGUAGAGACAGGGUUUCACCAUGUUGGCCAGGCUGGUCUUGAACUCCUGACCUCAGGUGAUCCACCCACCUUGGCCUCCCAAAGUGCUGGGAUUACAGGCGGGCAUGAGCCACCACACCCGUUAAUGUGAAGAUAGUAUAUACUGGGUUGUUUAAAUAGGAUAAUGCUUGCUAAGUACUUAACUUACUGCCUGAUACAUGCUAACACUCAAUAAAUUGUUGGCUAUCACACACUAGCUGCCUAAUAUAAAUGUUUAUGAGUACAUUGAGAUAAUUUUUUUUUUUUUUUUUUUGAGACAGGGUCUCACUCCUGUCACCCAGACUGGAGUGCAGUGGCACGAUCUCGGCUGCCUGCA